GACGAACGCUGGCGGCGUGCUUAACACAUGCAAGUCGAACGGAAAGGCCCUGCUUUUGUGGGGUGCUCGAGUGGCGAAUGGGUGAGUAACACGUGAGUAACCUGCCCUUGACUUUGGGAUAACUUCAGGAAACUGGGGCUAAUACCGGAUAGGAGCUCCUGCUGCAUGGUGGGGGUUGGAAAGUUUCGGCGGUUGGGGAUGGACUCGCGGCUUAUCAGCUUGUUGGUGGGGUAGUGGCUUACCAAGGCUUUGACGGGUAGCCGGCCUGAGAGGGUGACCGGCCACAUUGGGACUGAGAUACGGCCCAGACUCCUACGGGAGGCAGCAGUGGGGAAUAUUGCACAAUGGGCGGAAGCCUGAUGCAGCAACGCCGCGUGCGGGAUGACGGCCUUCGGGUUGUAAACCGCUUUCGCCUGUGACGAAGCGUGAGUGACGGUAAUGGGUAAAGAAGCACCGGCUAACUACGUGCCAGCAGCCGCGGUGAUACGUAGGGUGCGAGCGUUGUCCGGAUUUAUUGGGCGUAAAGGGCUCGUAGGUGGUUGAUCGCGUCGGAAGUGUAAUCUUGGGGCUUAACCCUGAGCGUGCUUUCGAUACGGGUUGACUUGAGGAAGGUAGGGGAGAAUGGAAUUCCUGGUGGAGCGGUGGAAUGCGCAGAUAUCAGGAGGAACACCAGUGGCGAAGGCGGUUCUCUGGGCCUUUCCUGACGCUGAGGAGCGAAAGCGUGGGGAGCGAACAGGCUUAGAUACCCUGGUAGUCCACGCUGUAAACGGUGGGUACUAGGUGUGGGGUCCAUUCCACGGGUUCCGUGCCGUAGCUAACGCUUUAAGUACCCCGCCUGGGGAGUACGGCCGCAAGGCUAAAACUCAAAGGAAUUGACGGGGCCCCGCACAAGCGGCGGAGCAUGCGGAUUAAUUCGAUGCAACGCGUAGAACCUUACCUGGGUUUGACAUGGAUCGGGAGUGCUCAGAGAUGGGUGUGCCUCUUUUGGGGUCGGUUCACAGGUGGUGCAUGGCUGUCGUCAGCUCGUGUCGUGAGAUGUUGGGUUAAGUCCCGCAACGAGCGCAACCCUUGUACACUGUUGCCAGCACGUUAUGGUGGGGACUCAGUGGAGACCGCCGGGGUCAACUCGGAGGAAGGUGGGGAUGACGUCAAGUCAUCAUGCCCCUUAUGUCCAGGGCUUCACGCAUGCUACAAUGGCUGGUACAGAGAGUGGCGAGCCUGUGAGGGUGAGCGAAUCUCGGAAAGCCGGUCUCAGUUCGGAUUGGGGUCUGCAACUCGACCUCAUGAAGUCGGAGUCGCUAGUAAUCGCAGAUCAGCAACGCUGCGGUGAAUACGUUCCCGGG
rnacentral:rRNA from 1 species